rnacentral:lncRNA from 1 species
UUUUCUAUAUUUUUUGUUCUUUUUUUCUUGAAUCUCUUUGGAAGCCAUUACGUAUUUGGUACUCAUUACCGAGGAGCUGAGCACUCACAUUUCUUACAAAAGAUACAAUAAUUUUGUUGACAGAAUCUACAACUACAAGUACGUAAUAAUAAAACAUAAAUUAUGAGCCAACAAUAUUUCAAACAUCACUCUAUCUCAA